rnacentral:rRNA from 1 species
ACUCCUACGGGAGGCAGCAGUGGGGAAUAUUGCACAAUGGGCGCAAGCCUGAUGCAGCCAUGCCGCGUGUAUGAAGAAGGGCCUUCGGGUUGAUAAAGUACUUUUCAGUCAGAUGAGGAAGGUGGGUAUGUUAAUAGCAUACUCAUUUGACGUUAGCUGCAGAAGAAGCACCGGCUAACUCCGUGCCAGCAGCCGCGGUAAUACGGAGGGUGCGAGCGUUAAUCGGAAUUACUGGGCGUAAAGCGCAUGCAGGUGGUUUGUUAAGUCG